GGAAAAACUGUGAAGAAAAGUAGUAAAUUAAUCCCUCACUUAUAGAGAGGAGUACUCAAAGCUGGGAGGUACUCUAGGUGAUAUUAAUUGAAGUCGUUUCUGAGUUGCUAAAAUGAAGUUAAAGUAGUUUUAGCCGAAUGCUAGGCGUUACCUAGUUUAAGAGCCGUAAGGAACUAAGGUGGUACCGCGAAAGAUCCUCUUUCGUCCUUAAC
rnacentral:ncRNA from 1 species